AACGGCCGUACCAUGCUGAAUAUAUCGGUUCUCGUUAGAUCACCGAAGUCAAGCAUCAUUGGUCGCGGUCAGUACUUGGGUGGGUGACCACCUGGGAACACUGCGUGCCGUU
rnacentral:rRNA from 1 species